CGUGUAGGCGGUUUGGCAAGUCGAGUGUGAAAUCCCACGGCUCAACCGUGGAACUGCGCUCGAAACCCCCUGCCUUACUUGAGUGCGGGAGAGGUGUGCGGAAUUCCUGGUGUAGCGGUGGAAUGCGUAGAUAUCAGGAAGAACACCGGUGGCGAAGGCGGCACACUGGCCCAGCACUGACGCUGAGGCGCGAAAGCGUGGGGAGCGAACG
rnacentral:rRNA from 1 species